GAGUUUGAUCCUGGCUCAGAAUGAACGUUGGCGGCAUGGAUUAGGCAUGCAAGUCGAGCGAGAAGGAAAUCAAAGUUUACUUUGAUUUCCGGAAAGCGGCGCAAGGGAGAGUAACGCGUAGUUAUCUACCCCAAGGCCCGGAAUAGCUGCGGGAAACUGCAGGUAAUGCCGGAUAAUAUCCCCGGAUCAAAGGUGUGAUUCCGCCUUGGGAGGAGACUGCGUUGUACUAGCUUGUUGGUAGGGUAAUGGCCUACCAAGGCUACGAUGCAUAGCGGGCGUGAGAGCGUGGCCCGUCUCACUGGGACUGAAACACUGCCCAGACACCUACGGGUGGCUGCAGUCGAGAAUCUUCGGCAAUGGGCGAAAGCCUGACCGAGCAAUGCCGCGUGCGGGAUGAAGGCCCUCGGGUUGUAAACCGCUGUCGUAGGGGAGAAAGGUCUCAUGAAGAAUGAGAUUUGAUCUAUCCUAGGAGGAAGUCCGGGCUAAGUUCGUGCCAGCAGCCGCGGUAACACGAACCGGACAAACGUUAUUCGGAAUUAUUGGGCUUAAAGGGUGCGUAGGCGGUGCGGUAAGUGAGGUGUGAAAGCCCUCGGCUCAACCGAGGAAUUGCGCUUCAUACUGCCGUGCUGGAGGGAGACAGAGGUAAGCGGAACUGAUGGUGGAGCGGUGAAAUGCGUUGAUAUCAUCAGGAACACCGGUGGCGAAAGCGGCUUACUGGGUCUCUUCUGACGCUGAGGCACGAAAGCUAGGGUAGCGAACGGGAUUAGAUACCCCGGUAGUCCUAGCCGUAAACGAUGAGCACUUGAUUGAGGGCCCCCCCCAUAGGCUCUCGAUCGCAGCGAAAGUGUUAAA
rnacentral:rRNA from 1 species